rnacentral:rRNA from 1 species
AGUGAACGCUGGCGGCGUGCCUAAUACAUGCAAGUCGAACGGAGUGGCGCACGGGUGAGUAAUGUAUAGCUUAUCUGCCCUCCACUAGAGGCCAACAGUUGGAAACGCCUGCUAAUACUCUAUAUUGUAGGCUGAGGCUCUUUUGUAUCAGCUAGUUGGUGAGGUAAUGGCUCACCAAGGGUAUGACGCAUAACUGGUCUGAGAGGAUGAUCAGUCACACUGGAACGGAGACACGGUCCAGACUCCUACGGGAGGCAGCAGUAGGGAAUAUUGCUCAAUGGGGGAAACCCUGAAGCAGCAUCGCCGCGUGGAGGAUGACACUUUUCGGAGCGUAAACUCCUUUUGUUAGGGAAGCGGUACCUAACGAAUAAGCACCGGCUAACUCCGUGCCAGCAGCCGCGGUAAUUC